UUAAAUAGAGGGAUGACAUACUCAGAUGCACAGUUUAGAAAGAUCUCUAGGGAUGUGGGUGAAGGCAGGUCUGGGGAAAGUCAGCCUGGAGGCAGGGAGACAGACAUAGGGGCCUUGUCACAGGCACCUGGGUGAAAGUCAACAGUGGAAGGAAUCAGGGACAGUGUAAGUAGAAGCCAUAGGUCUUGAGUGUGGUUGGCUGUAGGAGAUGAGGAUUGAUGAGGGGAAUGAAAGCUGUGUUUCAGCAAGGAGGAGUGGUUUAAAGUGUGGAGUUUCAGGUGCAGCCUUGGCAGGCUAACUGGCAGUGGCACAGAUUAAUAUGAAUCUCAGGACAGAGAACUGUGUUCUUGGCAGUGAAGUGAAGUCCUUGACAAGUGAGACAGAACAGAGGAGGAGGAGUUGAGUAAGGAAUCACUCAGGCUGCAUCUUCUCUCCCUUCUACUCUCCCUGAGAUGAGAGAAGAACGAUCACCAAUGGCAAAUGCAGUUGUAGCGAAGUAAAACCAAGAGCUGGCCUCACGCGCCACAGAGAAUGCUGCGUCUCCUCCUCAUGGUUUCUGGGGCUCCUCACGCUGAGAAACUUCUGUAGCCACAAAUCAUAUAAAUGAUCCCUGAAAGUAUAGUCUUUCCAUUUCUUACUAAUGAAGUCAUGCUCUGCUCACCUCCAACUUGACAGUGUUUGGUAGCUUUGUCAUAGGCUUCUCAUUGCUGAGGCAGGAACCAUAGGAAUAUUGGCCUCAGAAACAGUAAGGUGAGGGACAAAGAGUCUAAGAUAAGGAACCUAAUAUUGCAUCAUUGCCUAGUGGCAGGGAUGGCAGAACGCUGUCAUUCCCCACCCUGUGCCGGUGGCAGACAUUGCUAAUCAAUCAUGCACUCUUAUCUACUGAACCUGAGGAGCCUCAGACUCCUCAAAAUGGUGGCCCUGAGUCACAUCCCAG
rnacentral:lncRNA from 10 species